GGCAAUGUAUCAAGAGCACUAGAGAUGCGAACACGAUUUCAGAUUUUAUGGGUAUAGGAAUAUCGUAAAAAAAUAAAUAAUUCUAUAGAAUAAAGCCAUUUGAAUAAGGAAAUUCUCACGUCAUUUCUCCAAAUAGUCUCCAAAUACUUAUCCAAAGCAAAACUUAAAAUAGAUCAAAAAUGCUCCUCAAGACUUGCAUCCCUUCCUCCGCCAUAACCACAACAUCUCCACUUCUUUCCCUCACCAAAUCCUCUUUACCUUUCUCCCAAAACCUCCGUAAAGUUUCAACCUUUCCACGCACUUCCAAAACCCCAUCUCUUUAUUCUUCCCCUAAAAUGAGUUGGCUCAACAAAUUGGGUUUUGGUGCAAAAA
rnacentral:lncRNA from 1 species